UGAGUUGUGGCUCAGUGGUAGAGUUCUUGCCUGGCAUGUGUGAGGCCCUGGGUUUGAUCCUCAGCACUGCAU
rfam:Ictidomys tridecemlineatus contig093715, whole genome shotgun sequence.